AGACGGACGGCCGACGACCCAAGUAAGGCUGCUGGGCCAUAUUGAUGGAAUUCCCAUCGUGGGCUUGUGGAGCUUGCCUUUCAUCUUCACCGGCAUUAACUCCUCCGCCGGCACGACCUAUGGUCUCCUCGCCACAAACGCUCAUGAAAGCGCAUCAAGCAGAAACUUCUCGAGCGAACUGAGGAGCCGCCGGCUCCAGGAUAAAACCUACCCGUGUUGCCAUGGGCAUCAAGCACGCAAGCCUGCUCGCAUCGGCACCUAUCUGGCUAUCUCCACGCUGGUAGCAUCCUGCUCUCGAUUCUCUCGAUUUUAAUCACUCUCUCUAUUUUUCAAUCCCCAAACAUAUGUUUAUCAAUCUGACAAGUUGCGUACUAGCUCCAUUGUUGUUCGACCUUUCGCCUCUCGGCCAAAUUCGAUUGGAUGCUGCUCCCUCAAGCCCCCUAUCUGUUUGGAUUUAUUGGCUUAUGCGUGCUGGUCGCUGAAUCUAAUAGGAAGCGGCAAUAAUCAGGUUUACUGCCUACGGAUGGUGUUCAGCAGUUUCUUCUUUCAUUGGUACACACAAUUUCUCAUCGGUUGACUUAUUUUUAAUUAGAUGAGCAGGUGCAUCUUCUAUUUUUGUUAUCUUGCUGGUAGCAUGUAUUUUGUUACCAUGUAAUCUCGAUCUCCCCUGAAUUAAUUAGAUAUACUGGAAUUUCUCUCAUGGAAUAUUCAUCUUGGGUGAUGCCGCCGUGAAAAGGGACAUUGCUUCUGCUCUUUUGUUUUGUAGUAUUAGAAAUUUCAUAGGUUGAUCUAUCUAGUGCCGAUGGAGACUAUUUAUGGACCCAAAGUUCAGCUACUCUAUCUGCAACUAGGGUUAACGACACUCUAUAUUGAUCCUUUUGAUCUGAAUUUGUGUGGUGCUCUUUAUCUCAUAAGCUAUUGAAGUAACCGGUGUUUUAUGAAGAUGGAAAAACCACUAUUCCAAGGAUUAUUUGAUCGACUCAUCUGUUUUGUGUACUUGAUAGGAUUUCUAAUGAAGUUCAGUUCAUCAGUUUCUGUCACUAUGUGAAAGUAUUCGGUCCUUUUGCUUGACACUCACAAAUCUUUCUCCUGUAACCUCUAUGCGGAUGGCGUUUACUCGGCAAAGAGUGUAUAUGAUGGUGUUAGGAUCUGAUGCGCACAUGUUCUUGGGGUGCCUCUUUCCGAAAUCAGUUUGGCAGCUGUUUGGGAUCUCUUAUUCUCAGAUUGUUUCCAUUGCAAGCAACUUAAAUUAUAUUUGCCUGGUGGUGGAAAUCCCUAAAAAAGUGCCAGUCAUCAAAAUACACAGAUUUUGGCCAGUUUGUGCAUUGAUUGGCAUAUGUGAAAGCCCAGAACCGACAUGUCUUGGAAGAGGAGAAGUUUUCUCCUGUUGAGAUUUCACACUUGGCGCAAGAUGAUCUACUGGGUCGGGAUUUAGGGGAUUAAUUGCCCUGUUGUUUUCAUUUCGUUUUUCUCUUUGUUCUCCCAGGCUGAUUAAGCCUUUGUAUAGUUUCCCUCAUCUAUAAAACAUCCCUGUGAAAGCAAUGUUCUGUGUGUUACACAGUACAUUUCUUUCAUUUGGUUUAGUUGGUGUAAAAUUUGUUUAUGUAUGCAUGAUAACUUUUUU